CUUUUUUUCUGGAGACUGUAUCAAAAUCACUACAAGCUUUGUGUGAGGCAACUGGACCUGCCAUGCUGACGCAGCCGGGAAGCGUGGUGUCACCGUCCUCUCAUCUAGCUGGAAAGCGGUCGGACUGCAGGACGCUAUCUAAAGUCAUUUCUGUGAACCCUGUCCAGAAAGAAAGCUCUUUGUUCCCGCAAAAUCAUUUUCAUCACUGCUUCAAAUACUUCAUACUUCAAUAACUAGCUUCUCAGACCUCCAAAUGACAGGUGAUACUACAUCAUGU